AAUAGGCCGAAACCUGAACCUAGGUGCGGAGGACGAAAGAUGAGAACGAACCGUGUUGAACGUCUUCGUUUUCUUGGGGUGAAGCGCAUCCAUCGGUUGCGCCGGGAACGAUCCUUUUUCCCGAAUCCGACAACUAACUCCGCAGGCGCAGUAAAAGG
rnacentral:sRNA from 1 species